rnacentral:rRNA from 1 species
AGUGACCGCUGGCGGUAGGCCUAACACAUGCAAGUCGAACGGCAGCACAGUAAGAGCUUGCUCUUACGGGUGGCGAGUGGCGGACGGGUGAGGAAUACAUCGGAAUCUACUUUUUCGUGGGGGAUAACGUAGGGAAACUUACGCUAAUACCGCAUACGACCUACGGGUGAAAGCAGGGGAUCUUCGGACCUUGCGCGAUUGAAUGAGCCGAUGUCGGAUUAGCUAGUUGGCGGGGUAAAGGCCCACCAAGGCGACGAUCCGUAGCUGGUCUGAGAGGAUGAUCAGCCACACUGGAACUGAGACACGGUCCAGACUCCUACGGGAGGCAGCAGUGGGGAAUAUUGGACAAUGGGCGCAAGCCUGAUCCAGCCAUACCGCGUGGGUGAAGAAGGCCUUCGGGUUGUAAAGCCCUUUUGUUGGGAAAGAAAAGCAGCAGGUUAAUACCCCGCUGUUCUGACGGUACCCAAAGAAUAAGCACCGGCUACUUCGUG